rnacentral:misc_RNA from 1 species
AAGUCGUAACAAGGUCUCCGUAGGUGAACCUGCGGAGGGAUCAUUACUGAGUUACCACUCUUAACCCUGUUUACAUAUCUGUUGCUUCGGAGGCGCCCCUCGGGAGGGGAUCUGCUUCGGCCGCCUCCAAAAGCAUUUUUUAAACUUUUAAACUUUAUUAUACUCUGAAAAGAAAACAAAAUCAAAACCUCAACAACGGAUCUCUUGGUUACA